CCGUCAAAUGUCUUAAGAUCUAUAGAGCCCUUUUGAUUUUUCUAUGGCAACAUUUGCUAUGCUGACGUCAUUGCCACGUCAUUACUGUCAGUCAGACAGAAAUAAAAGAAAAAUGGAUGCCGUUCAGACGUACACGCAUUAUUUGGAACUGAAAAUUACGUAAUUUAUCGACCUGCUGGCUUGUAUUUGUUAUAAAUCAUAAAAAAAUUAUGGAAAACAUCAUGAACAAUAAUGAAACAAACCGAACCUUUAGCUACAAUAAUAAAAUGACCCCAUGACGCCAGUGGAACUACGUGGUUUUCUUCCAUGAUGAUUUGAUGAUACCACAAUGGAAUUAGCCAAGUUUUCGCCGUAUUGGGUGCUAGAUGCCCCUUGGAGUUAAGCCCCAGUGUGACUAUACUACCUUACCAGUUAUGUGUGGGUGUCCUAAGGCACCCCAGAGAUGCAAAGGACCUUCACAAACUCACGCCACGCCUUCCUAUCUUCAGCAACCCUCGUGACCUCGCUCCACCAGCUCAAACCUGCCACUCGCAGCUCCUUUUCGACGGACCGCUUCCAUGAGUAGACAAAGCACCGACGAUCACGGCUUGCAUCACCUGUACUGCUAUGUAAUAUAGUAUGCUGAACACCGCUGCCAUUAUACUAGGAACAACGUCCUGCCCCUUCCCCGGCUGUGUACAAAUUGGAAUUCCAUGCCCCUGCAUGCCCCUUUGACUGAGCAACAUGUGUGUGCUCGAAACACAUUCAAUUGCAACAAAAUGACUCCCAGGCUGACCUGGCUCAGCUCUUGUAUGUCUGAUCUACAUAGACAAUGGUUUCAAUGAAAGAGUGAAAAUUCUUCUCCAUGUACAAUCACUUUCAACGCCUACACUGACUACACCAAAUAUGAUCAUCACUCAACGUGUCUCACAUCAAGAUACUUUUCAAAAGUCAUCAAGAAGUGGAACAAUAUUUUUUUUUUCCAUUAUUGCCUGAAUAAUCCUAACUAAAAGUUAUUUCUCUAUUCUAUUUUUCCUGCAUGGAGUGGCGCUUUUCCGUCUAAUGGAACCAACAAGAACAUGUAUGCUCUGGGUUUUUAUUGUGCACCUUUCCAAUAUUACUAAUAAAGCAUUU
rnacentral:lncRNA from 1 species